rnacentral:rRNA from 1 species
UAAGGAAUAUUGGUCAAUGGACGCAAGUCUGAACCAGCCAUGCCGCGUGGAGGAUGAAGGUCCUCUGGAUUGUAAACUUCUUUUAUCUGGGACGAAACACUUCUUUUCUAAGAGGCCUGACGGUACCAGAUGAAUAAGCGCCGGCUAACUCCGUGCCAGCAGCCGCGGUAAUACGGAGGGUGCAAGCGUUAUCCGGAUUCACUGGGUUUAAAGGGUGCGUAGGUGGGUAUGUAAGUCAGAGGUGAAAUCCCCGAGCUUAACUUGGGAACGGCCUUUGCUACUAGAUAUCUUGAAUGCCGUAGAGGUAAGCGGAAUAUGUCAUGUAGCGGUGAAAUGCUUAGAUAUGACAUGGAACACCAAUGGCGAAGGCAGCUUACUAUGCGGUUAUUGACACUGAGUCACGAAAGCGUGGGUAGCAAACA